rnacentral:rRNA from 1 species
GACGAACGCUGGCGGCGUGCUUAACACAUGCAAGUCGAACGGAAAGGCCCUGCUUUUGUGGGGUGCUCGAGUGGCGAACGGGUGAGUAACACGUGAGUAACCUGCCCUUGACUUUGGGAUAACUUCAGGAAACUGGGGCUAAUACCGGAUAGGAGCUCCUGCUGCAUGGUGGGGGUUGGAAAGUUUCGGCGGUUGGGGAUGGACUCGCGGCUUAUCAGCUUGUUGGUGGGGUAGUGGCUUACCAAGGCUUUGACGGGUAGCCGGCCUGGGAGGGUGACCGGCUAUAUGGGGAAUGGGAUGCGCCCAAGGCUCCGUGGGGAAGAAGCGAGGGGUGAUUUUGCAGAAUGGGGGUAUUCCUGAGGCAAGACGGCGGCGGGGGGGAAGGCGGGGUUGGGGUUGUAAGCCGCUUUUGCUGGGGGGAAAGCGUGAGGGAUGGCAGGGGGUAAAAUGGCCAAGUUGAAUUGCGG